UACGGAGGGGGCUAGCGUUGUUCGGAAUUACUGGGCGUAAAGCGUGCGUAGACGGUUAUUUAAGUCGGGUGUGAAAGCCCCGGGCUCAACCUGGGAAUUGCAUUCGAGACUGAAUAGCUAGGGUACGGUAGAGGGAAGCGGAAUUUCCGGUGUAGCGGUGAAAUGCGUAGAUAUCGGAAGGAACAUCAGUGGCGAAAGCGGCUUCCUGGACCAGUACCGACGUUCAGGCACGAAAGCGUGGGGAGCAAACAGG
rnacentral:rRNA from 1 species